GAUGAACGCUAGCGGCAGGCUUAAUACAUGCAAGUCGAGGGGCAGCAUGAUUGUAGCAAUACAAUUGAUGGCGACCGGCAAACGGGUGCGGAACACGUACACAACCUCCCAAUAAGUGGGGAAUAGCCCAGAGAAAUUUGGAUUAAUACCCCGUAACAUAACGAUGUGGCAUCACAUUGUUAUUAUAGAUUUUUCGCUUAUUGAUGGGUGUGCGGCUGAUUAGAUAGUUGGCGGGGUAACGGCCACCAAGUCUACGAUCAGUAGCUGAUGUGAGAGCAUGAUCAGCCACACGGGCACUGAGACACGGGCCCGACUCCUACGGGAGGCAGCAGUAAGGAAUAUUGGACAAUGGACGCAAGUCUGAUCCAGCCAUGCCGCGUGAAGGAUUAAGGUCCUCUGGAUUGUAAACUUCUUUUAUAAGGGACGAAAAAAGGCUUUUCUAAGUCGUCUGACGGUACCUUAUGAAUAAGCACCGGCUAACUCCGUGCCAGCCGCCGCGGUAAAAC
rnacentral:rRNA from 1 species